CAUGUGGUGGGGGGGGUCAAGGGGUUCAGAUUGUGGGAGGGGACUCAGGUCUGGGGCAGAGGGUUGAUGUGCAGGCGUGUGAGGACUCCGGCUGGCGGUGUGGGCUCUGGGGUGGGACUGGAGAUGAGGGGUCAGGGCUGGG